AAUGAACGCUGGCGGCGUGCUUAACACAUGCAAGUCGUACGAGAACACCCUAGCUUGCUAGGGUAAGUAAAGUGGCGCACGGGUGAGUAACGCGUAAGUAAUCUACCCUCGCAUCCGGGAUAACCCACCGAAAGGUGUGCUAAUACCUGAUACGUCUGGUUUAAUAUCUUUAUACCAGAGAAAGAUGGCCUCUUCAUGAAAGCUAUCGUGCGGGGAGGAGCUUGCGUACCAUUAGCUAGUUGGUAGGGUAAAGGCCUACCAAGGCGACGAUGGUUAGCGGGUCUGAGAGGAUGAUCCGCCACACUGGAACUGAAACACGGACCAGACUCCUACGGGAGGCAGCAGUGAGGAAUAUUGCGCAAUGGGGGAAACCCUGACGCAGCGACGCCGCGUGGAUGAUGAAGGCCUUCGGGUUGUAAAAUCCUGUCAGAUGGGAAGAAGUGCUAUAUGCCUAAUACGUGUGUAGUUUGACGGUACCAUCAAAGGAAGCACCGGCUAACUCCGUGCCAGCAGCCGCGGUAAUACGGAGGGUGCAAGCGUUGUUCGGAAUUACUGGGCGUAAAGCGCGCGUAGGCGGCUAUUUAAGUCAGAUGUGAAAGUCCACGGCUCAACCGUGGAAGUGCCAUUGAUACUGGUUA
rnacentral:rRNA from 1 species